UACGUAGGGUGCAAGCGUUGUCCGGAAUUAUUGGGCGUAAAGAGCUCGUAGGCGGUCUGUCGCGUCGGAUGUGAAAACUCGGGGCUCAACCCCGGGCCUGCAUUCGAUACGGGCAGACUAGAGUACGGCAGGGGAGACUGGAAUUCCUGGUGUAGCGGUGAAAUGCGCAGAUAUCAGGAGGAACACCGGUGGCGAAGGCGGGUCUCUGGGCCGAUACUGACGCUGAGGAGCGAAAGCGUGGGGAGCGAACGG
rnacentral:rRNA from 1 species